GACGAACGCUGGCGGCGUGCUUAACACAUGCAAGUCGAACGGAAAGGCCCUGCUUUUGUGGGGUGCUCGAGUGGCGAACGGGUGAGUAACACGUGAGUAACCUGCCCUUGACUUUGGGAUAACUUCAGGAAACUGGGGCUAAUACCGGAUAGGAGCUCCUGCUGCAUGGUGGGGGUUGGAAAGUUUCGGCGGUUGGGGAUGGACUCGCGGCUCAUCAGCUUGUUGGUGGGGUAGUGGCUUACCAAGGCUUUGACGGGUAGCCGGCCUGAGAGGGUGACCGGCCACAUUGGGACUGAGAUACGGCACAGACUCCAACGGGAGGCAGCAGUGGGGAAUAUUGCACAAUGGGCGGAAGCCUGAUGCAGCAACGCCGCGUGCGGGAUGACGGCCUUCGGGUUGUAAACCGCUUUCGCCUGUGACGAAGCGUGAGUGACGGUAAUGGGUAAAGAAGCACCGGCUAACUACGUG
rnacentral:rRNA from 1 species